UCGAAAGCUUGCUUUUGAUGGGCGUCGACCGGCGCACGGGUGAGUAACGCGUAUCCAACCUGCCCAUCACUUGGGGAUAACCUUGCGAAAGUAAGACUAAUACCCAAUGAUAUCUCUAGAAGACAUCUGAAAGAGAUUAAAGAUUUAUCGGUGAUGGAUGGGGAUGCGUCUGAUUAGCUUGUUGGCGGGGUAACGGCCCACCAAGGCGACGAUCAGUAGGGGUUCUGAGAGGAAGGUCCCCCACAUUGGAACUGAGACACGGUCCAAACUCCUACGGGAGGCAGCAGUGAGGAAUAUUGGUCAAUGGACGAGAGUCUGAACCAGCCAAGUAGCGUGCAGGAUGACGGCCCUAUGGGUUGUAAACUGCUUUUAUAAGGGAAUAAAGUGAGAGUCGUGACUCUUUUUGCAAGUACCUUAUGAAUAAGGACCGGCUAAUUCCGUGCCAGCAGCCGCGGUAAUACGGAAGGUCCGGGCGUUAUCCGGAUUUAUUGGGUUUAAAGGGAGCGUAGGCCGGAGAUUAAGCGUGUUGUGAAAUGUAGACGCUCAACGUCUGCACUGCAGCGCGAACUGGUUUCCUUGAGUACGCACAAAGUGGGCGGAAUUCGUGGUGUAGCGGUGAAAUGCUUAGAUAUCACGAAGAACUCCGAUUGCGAAGGCAGCUCACUGGAGCGCAACGGACGCUGA
rnacentral:rRNA from 1 species